UUGAUUUGUAUAUAAAAACAAAAAAAAACCAAAAAAAAAAAAGCAACAACAGAAGAAGUUAUGUUAAAUUAAAAGGCUUGUCAGCAAGGAGCUACCCAAAACGGAGCAGACGACAAACAUUGGCUGCGACACACACACACACACACACACACACGCGCGCAAAACAAACAUACAGACAGACACUAAUACAUACACAUACAUACAUACGUAUGUACAUAUGAAACUUGGGCGACCGCAUUCCAGAAAGUUCAAAUAACGAUUUGGUUGGGACACAGCACUGCGGUGGGGAGAGCUGAAUUGGCCCACAGCAUAAACAGCGUGGAAAAAUUAAAGUUAAAGAAUUCUGCCCGUGCAUGUGUGUAUGUGAGUGUGAGUGUGAGUGUGCGUGUGCCUGCUUGCAUGUGUGUGUGGCUUGAGCUUGGCGUGCCUGUAUUGGUGGUUGUAGCAUGGAAUGCGGUCUCGUUCAACUAUGAGAAGAACUAAGCCAAAUAGAACUUGCGCUUCAAAAAAACUGGUUUCUGUUGGCCAAGACUGUGUGUCGUCGUGUUGCGUGUGCUGCUGCUGCAUGGGACAUCCAUUGACAUCUAAGGAGCUCUUUGAUUCUAAACUUCAAGUCAAGCCACAUGGGUAAGCGAGUAAGCCGUGUGGAAUUUGCCAGCAGUCAAUGCGCUCACACACACACACACACACACACACACACAUUUGUAUGUAUGUACAGCGGCUGCUGCGCUGUCAGUUACAAGUCACAAGCUCGGCUUCGUCUUUGGAGACGAAGUAAAAUAUUUAUUGGCUGAAAUUGGAUGCUGCGCGUCGUCGUCUUCGUACGUGUGUGUGUGUGUGUGUGUGUGUAGCGUCUAUUUAGAAAUUGAAAUUGAAAUUUGUCAAGCAUGAGUCAUACACGACGCGAGCGUAGGUCUGAGCCAGACUUUGGCAUUAUGUGACUGCAAUUUCGGCUUCAGUACAGUAUAAAUUACCUAAAAGCAACUGCUAAAAAUCUUCAAAGUUACGAAUAAGGCGAGAAAAAAGUUUCAUAUUUUUUUUUUAAUUGUAAAAGCUGUUGCAACAUAAUUUUCUUAAUUAUGCUCAAUAGAGGUGGCAAUUUGUUGUGCUUGUUGCCCUUAGGCAGUUUUUACUGUAUGCCAGUUAAGUCGCUUGCGCGUUUGAAGCUAUUGCGGCGCUGUGCGGUUAAAGUAUUUUGAUGGUAAUUGCGCACACGAUGCAAUUGCAGCCGAUAAUAAAGGGAGCAGUCGCAGCGGCAGAGCCAAGCGUGCACUGGAGUGGGCACUACCUAUCAUAAUUGCAAUCGCUGGACUCGCCGCUGCGGCUCUGUUGGGUAUCGUGGUCUUCCAACGCCAACUAAAGUUGCAUCACUCAGCAAAAGGCAAAACGAAGAAAAGUCAACCACCAGCAUAGAAUGCGGGCUCGUAACAACAACAACAACAACAACAAGAACGUCAGAGAGAGAGCAACAGGAACAGCACAGCAACAGCAAAAACAACAACAGAACAAACAGGGCAGGCGGCAGUCGGCAGGCAAGCAGAACCAGAAAACCGACGCCAAACCGUUUUACAAGAACAGCAAGACGAAAGAAGCAGAGGGCGAGCGAAAGAAGGCAGCCAAGGAAAAAGCAACGGCGUCUGCUGGCAGACAGGGAUAGACGCCAAAGUCCAAGUGUGCAGUCGCAGCCGAAAAGGGUAAAAAGGGAACGCAAGUGUGCAAUGCGCUCUCUCGCUGUCUCUCGCUCCCCUCUCUCUAUCUCUCUCUCUCUCUCUCACACAGUCGCACACAUGCAGCGGGCUAACGGACAACGGCAAACUGAUCCCGUUUGUAGUUCUUGUUGCUGUUCUUGGACGUAAAAAGCAAUAAUGUCAGCAAAAAAAAAAAUAAAUAAAAUGCCAAAGAACGCCAACGGCGAAACGUUGGCGGUGGUCGGCUGCAACAACAACAACAACAACGACAGCAACAACAACUGUAAUAACAGCAACGAGUUUAAGGAAUGCCGUCGUAAGUUAUCGUCUGGCCUAUCGUUAAGCUAUCGGCGUCGCUAACACUAUCGAUAGUCAAAGCUGCGCGGCCUGGCGAGCUGUGCGGUUGGCAUCUGCUUUGGGAGUUGCGUAGAUAAAAGUUGUGGCCCGUUUUAUUUUAUGCACGACAAUAAAUGUCAAUUAAAAAUUAUAUUUGUAUUAACGGGGCGGCAGUUCCUGACCGCCAGGCCUCAGCCAUAAAAAUGUGCUAUAAAAAAAGUAACGGUGAAUGCUACGGUCUGCUGAAGUUCGUGUGUGGCUCUCAGUUACAACAACAAAAAACAUUUCUCCAUGUGUGUCUGUGUGUGUGUGUGUGUGUUUUUGCUGUCCGCUCAAUAGAAAGUUUUGUGUUAAUAAAAAA